GUUCUUCUUCAAUCGUUCUUCAUGGUAUGCCCAUCAAUGCUUAGGUGCGGCGACGAUUUGAUGUUCGUCUACUUUUGAUGGAAAAGUCACAAAAUACCCAAAUAUUAUACGCAGCGAGAGAGGCGGGGAGAGAGAGAGAGAGAGAGCGAGAAUAUCUCUACAUUCUUCCUCCAAUUUCUGUCUGCAAACAGGUUCAUUUUCCGAUUCUUUUCUCAUGUUUCAAUUCGUUGGAUUUUGGAUUUUCUAGCAUUCUCUUGAUAAUCUCUAAUAAAGUACUUAUUUUUUUCGAUUGAUCUGGUAAUUCGUUGAUGUUUUUCUGCAUUUUUACGAACUAAUUGUUUACAUUGAUUUGAAUUAUUUGUGUUCUUCUUCAAUUGCUCUUCAAGGUAUGCCCAUCAAUACUUAGACACGACGAUGGUUUGAUGUCUAUCUACUUUUGAUGGAAAAGUCACAAAAUGCCCAAAUAUUAUACGCGGAGAGAGAGAGAGAGAGAGAGAGAGAGAGAGAGAGAAUAUCUCUGCCUUCUUCCUCCAAUUUCUAUCUGCAUACAAGUUCAUUUUCUGAUUCUUUUCUCAUGUUUCAAUUUGUUGGAUUUUGGAUUUUCUAACAUUCUCUCGAUAAUCUCUAAUAAAUUAUUUAUUUUUUUCGAUUGAUUUGGUAAUUCGUUGAUGUUUUUCUGCAUUUUUAAGACUAAUUGAUUACGUUGAUUUGAAUUAUUUGUUUUAAUCUUGCAUUCUUUUCCCUUGAUUAAAUUGAAUAGCAAUUUCAUUGUCUUCUUAAAGAGUUCAUUUCCAGGAUUUGAUAUUUUUAUUCUAGAAUUUGAUUGUCCUUUUUUUUUUCUCCUUCUUGAAUCAAAUAUUAAUAUGGAAGUUGGGUGGAUAUAAUUCGUGGACAUAUUGUUUUAACCUGGUAUAUACUUGCAGUAAGUGGGUUCAUCGUUGAUUGAAACAAUGAAAUUUGAUUCCAACAUUUUAUGUUGGGAAUUUUGAUUUGGGUCAUUUUAUGUUUUUAAUUUGGGGGGUUUUUUUAUUUUAAGGUUUAGAAGAAGUGUGUUUCACAAAUUAAACAAAAAUUUCUCAUUUUGGUUGGGUACAUCUUUAAUCCAAGUGGACAAAUAAACGCUGUUAAACCGUCACAUCAAUUUCUCGUCACAUACUUUGAAUUUUUUGUUAAUUAAGGAUAAAAUAUUGGAAAUGAGUGAUGGAUGUGUAAAAGUAUAAAUAGAUGAGUGCGUAGUGGGUUACCAUUCUUUGUUCAUAGAACAAGUAGUAACCCAAGGUGAAAUUCAGUAAGCAUUCAUUUAAUUAACUCGUGUACAAGUUUGUACUUGUCAAGCUACUAAGCAACCAUUUUUUCCUUUUGCUGAUUAUCAUUUCUGAGAGUCAUCGAUUUUUGGUUUUUGAAUAUGAAAUCUGAGAUCAAUCAACUGUUACAUGGUAUACAAUGAACAUAAAUAUAAUUCUGUAUUUUCAGAAAGUAGUGAUACAGUGCAUAAGCAACAAUAUAACCUUUUUAGGUAGUAAUUUUCUUACGGUAGCAACAAUAUACAUUCAUAUUACUAAGGCAGCUCAUUGAGAUUGAAGAUAAUAUCAUAUUAAUGGUGGAAAUAUGCUUCAGUAUUUAUUGAAUUUUUUAAAUUUCUUGUGUGUUACCUGGCAUUCCUAAGCUUGCAAUUGGAAUCUAGAAUUAGAGAAACCUGUUUGACUUUUAUUGAGUAAUUUUUUUAAAUUUCUUGUGUGUUAUAUGUAUCUAUCUAUGCCUUGAUUGAAGUAGAAACUUUUGUAUUUCAAGUAAUGAUCAAGUAUAAAAAGGUAAUGAAAAUAUCAUAUAAUAGGUGCAGCAAAAAGUGAAAACGUUCAAAGAAGUGGAGAAAAUGAUGGGACAUUGGAUGAUGAAAUAAAUAAGUUUAAGGGGUGUGUGUGUGUGUGUGUGUGUGUGUGUGUAUUCAUAGUUAAUUAUCUUACAAUAUGAAGUCCAUUGACGUGUUCAAUUUCUUAUUAGAUUUGCAGGGAUAGGUGCAGGACAAUUGUCAAGGACUCUAGAUCUUCCUACCCAAGGGGCAUGUAAACAAAUUAGAACCUCUCAUAUCGUGCAUACUACUUGAGAGAACAUUAGAGUUUUAUAUAAUUAAUUGAGCAGAUAAGCUACAAGUUUUGGAGUCAAUAGUUGUUCGUUCAUGAUAUCGAAGCCCUCAUUUGGUCACAUUGCCCCCAAUGAAUAUGGUUUUUAGUUUAAAUUUAGAU
rnacentral:lncRNA from 1 species